CCUCGCCCUGUUUAACAAAAACAUUUCUUUUUAAUUAAAAAGUAGGUCCUGCCCGGUGUAGAUAAACGGCUGCGGUAUUCUGACCGUACAAAGGUAGCAUAAUAAAUAGUCUUUUAAUUGGGGACUUGUAUGAAAGGUUUAAUUAGGAAUUGGCUGUUUUAUAGUUAGGGGUAUAAGUUGAUUAUCAAGUGAAAGGGCUUGGGUUUAAUAAAGUGACAAGAAGACCCUAAGAGUUUUAUGGACAGCACUAGGUGGGGUUAGUUGGCUGUAGUGGCUGAUCUGGUGUUUGUGUUUUUAACUGGGGCGGUUAUAAUAAUAUCUAUUUUGAGAGGGACUGGAAUAGUAGGAGUAGUGGAUUUAGUAUCCUUAUUGGAAAGCAAAAUAAAUUACCUUAGGGAUAACAGCAUAAUCUUUUUUGAGAGAUCUUAUUGACGAAGAGGUUUGUGACCUCGAUGUUGGAUUUGAAUUACUUAGUGGGGCAGCAUUUGCUAAAGUUGGUCUGGUUCGACCAUUAAAUUUCAACAUGAUUUGAGUUCCAGACCGGAACCCAGGACACUGCUCGGGUUGAACUCAGAUCAUGAAACACAGUCUCAAAUCAGAUUAGGAAUAAUGGUACAUAAACCGCCGUAGAAACCCGGCGACCCAGACGAGCCUGCACCCC
rnacentral:rRNA from 1 species